rnacentral:rRNA from 12 species
UUCAAUUAUGGCAACAAAAUUUGCAUGUCCAUCAAAGUAAUAUCCCCAUGAUUCGUCGGUUGGAUUUACAACGUUGCCAAGAUG